rnacentral:rRNA from 1 species
UACGUAGGGAGCAAGCGUUGUUCGGAUUUACUGGGCGUAAAGGGCGCGUAGGCGGUGUUGUAAGUCACUUGUGAAAUCUCCGGGCUUAACUCGGAACGGUCAAGUGAUACUGCAGCACUAGAGUGCGGAAGGGGCAAUCGGAAUUCUCGGUGUAGCGGUGAAAUGCGUAGAUAUCGAGAGGAACACCUGAGGUGAAGACGGGUUGCUGGGCCGACACUGACGCUGACAGCGCGAAAGCCAGGGGAGCAAACGGG